UGGGAGGCCGAGGUGGGCGGACCACAAGGUCAGGAGAUCGAGACCAUCCUAGCUAACACGGUGAAACCCCGUCUCUACUAAAAAUACAAAAAAUUAGCCAGGCGUGGUGGCGGGCGCCUGUAGUCCCAGCUACUUGGGAGGCUGAGGCAGGAGAAUGGCGUGAACCCGGGAGGUGGAGGUUGCAGUGAGCCGAGAUUGUGCCAUUGCACUCCAGCCUGGGCGA
rnacentral:lncRNA from 1 species